rnacentral:rRNA from 1 species
GAUGAACGCUGACAGAAUGCUUAACACAUGCAAGUCUACUUGAAUUUGGGUUUUUUAACUUAGAUUUGGGUGGCGGACGGGUGAGUAACGCGUAAAGAACUUGCCUCACAGCUAGGGACAGCAUUUGGAAACGAAUGCUAAUACCUGAUAUUAUGAUUAUAAGGCAUCUUAGAAUUAUGAAAGCUAUAUGCGCUGUGAGAGAGCUUUGCGUCCCAUUAGCUAGUUGGAGAGGUAACGGCUCACCAAGGCGAUGAUGGGUAGCCGGCCUGAGAGGGUGAACGGCCACAAGGGGACUGAGACACGGCCCUUACUCCUACGGGAGGCAGCAGUGGGGAAUAUUGGACAAUGGACCAAGAGUCUGAUCCAGCAAUUCUGUGUGCACGAUGACGUUUUUCGGAAUGUAAAGUGCUUUCAGUUGGGAAGAAAAAAAUGACGGUACCAACAGAAGAAGUGACGGCUAAAUACGUG